CGAGGGGGCACCGCCGGCGGCCGGGCGGCCUGGCGGGGCGGGGAGCGCGGACCCUCCCACACAGCCCAGCCUUUCUCUUCCCUCCUUCUUUGAAAUCCCAGCUGCCAUGAAAAUCCUGCUCUCCAACACCACUGAAACUUUCAGAAGCCUUUUACUUCUAACUGUAUAACCCUAGAAUUUCUGGAUGAAAAAGCCCUCUAUAAAUGUUCAGCUUCUUGGCUUCCAAAUGUAAGGAAAAAGCACUGCAGACACCUGACUGAAGAAUCUGCUGAAACCCUCUGAGCCUGGAAUGACCACUCAUUCAUGGCACUAGCAAUAUAAAAAAAAUUUUAAAAAGACACUGAGAAGAAAUUAAAGCAUUUAAAGGCUCAAACUCUGGAAAUAGCAGAAACUACUGGAAAAGAAGGCAAGAACACUUCAGUGUACAUCUGGAAACAGUGCCAGGGGUCUGAACCAUGAAGAAACUGCAUGUUGCUGCCUUGGAUGACUGUUUUCUGUAGAAUAAAAACACUUGCAGCAAAAGAUGACGUAUGCAGAAGAAAUAAUAAACAUAAGAACAAGUGGGACAUAUUACAUUAGGCAUAUAUGCACAGCUCCUAGCAUUUCUAGGAACUGUGCUGUAACUCUGAGAUAAAAACAACAGGUUGUAGAAAUAUAAAGGGGUAAAAAUACAGAUUUAUGCAAUUCAUUUUUUUUCUAUUUUAAAAAUGUGCUUCUAGAAAUUAAAAAAAAAACCAGGAAAACCAUCUUAGACUUUCUUAUUUUCAUCUUUCUUAUUUUUAGAUGGCACUACUAAAGAUAUUACAGCAGAAGAGCUGAUUAUGCAUUAAGAACUUUUUUAGCUAGACUUCUUUAACCAAUACUUCUUUAACCAAUAUGUGACAGAGAGACACAAUUUACAGGACAUACAUUUGAGCAGAAUACAGUGAAACCUAGAUUUAGGUGUGAGACUACUAGUUCCUCAUCAUUCCUCACUUAUUGGGUGCAGAGUAUGUAGGAAAGCUUGCUGAACUCUUAGAACUUUCCCCACUAGA